UAAAUUUUAUUUAUUAUAAUGAUUUUUUGUUAUUUUUGUUUUUAAUAGAAAUAAUUUUAUUAUUUAUUUGUUUUAGUAUAUUUUAUAGAAUGAAUUUAUUUAAUUAUAGUUUAUUAGUAAUGUAAUUGACUUAUGAAAUAAUUUUUACUUUUUGAAAAGAAGAUUUAAUUUAUUGUACCUUUUGUAUCAGGGUUUAUUAAAAUUUUAUUAAUUAUUUAAUGGUCUCGAUUUAGAUUGAUUUACAAUAGUUUAAUUUUUAAUGUUUUAAAAUUAUUUUUUAAUUUAUUGUGGUAAUGAAAUGUUAUUCGUUUUCUAAGAUAUCUAGUUUCUUAAGAAAAAGUUUAAUUUUUUAUAGUUAAUUGUUUUGGUUCUAUUUUUAGAUAAUAAAUAUUGACUUAUUUAUUUUUUAGGGGAUAAGCUUUAAGAUUAAUAUCCUAUAAUUAUUUAUAGUUAGAUAUAAUAGUAGGCUUUAUACCAGCUAUCUUAAAUAAAAUGAUUACGUUUUAGUUCAUUGUCUUUUAUUUUAAUUUUAUAAUUAUUUUAGGUUUAUUAUUAAGAUGAAAAAUUUAAUUUUAAAAUUUUUGUGAAAAUGAUAAAAUUAGUAUAAUUGUUAGUUUAUGGUGUUUUUAAAAAUAAUUUAUUUUAAGGAACUAGGCAAUUUAUAUUUCCGCCUGUUUAUCAAAAACAUGUCCUCUUGAUUAUAUUUUGAGGUUUGGUCUGCUCACUGAGUAUUUAAAUAGCCGCGGUAUAUUGACCGUGCAAAGGUAGCAUAAUCAUUAGUCUUUUAAUUGAAGGCUGGAAUGAAUGGCUUGACGAGAAAUUAACUGUCUCUUAAUAAUAUAUAGAAUUUAACUUUUAAGUUAAAAGGCUUAAAUUUAUUUUUAGGACGAGAAGACCCUAUAGAACUUAACAUAAAUAUUAUAUUUGGUUUUUAGUUAAUCUUUCCAAAUUUAUUAAUAAUGUUUUGUUGGGGUGACGUAAAAAAUAGAUAAACUUUUUAUUUUAAAAUCAUUAAUUUAUGUUUAUUAUGAUCCAUAAUUUAUGAUCAUAAGAUUAAGUUACCUUAGGGAUAACAGCGUAAUUAUUCUUAAGAGUUCAUAUCAAUAGAGUAGAUUGCGACCUCGAUGUUGGAUUAAGAAUAAUUUUAGGUGUAGUAGCUUAAUAAUUAGGUCUGUUCGACCUUUAAAUUCUUACAUGAUCUGAGUUCAAACCGGCGUGAGCCAGGUUGGUUUCUAUCCUAAAUAUUAUAUUCAUUUAUAUUAGUACGAAAGGACCAUAUAAUUAAAAUAUUUUUUAAUAGUGGAUAAAUAUUAAUACA
rnacentral:rRNA from 1 species